rnacentral:lncRNA from 1 species
AUUUUGAGUGAUCCUAUCAUUUUGUGAUAUCAUACAGUAUUUUCUAUACCAUAGCAGAGUUUCUUCAAAGAUGUCGUGGCUGUAUGAUCAACAGCUCAGGAGUAUUUGCUUUUGAUGAGUGGGGUGUCAAUGGAGAGGACUUCUUGACCUUUGAACCCCAGACUCUUAAAUGGACUCCUCUGUCUGACCUGGCCACCCCUGUUGCAGUAGAGUGGAACAAGCAGGACUCAUUGAUCAGGAAUCAUGUGUAUGGGGACUUUGGCCAGAUUUUGUGUCCCGAGACUCACAAUACCUUGAAGUUGAAGAGAGCAACAUGGAUCAAUGAAUCUGCACAAACGGAUAUGGAACUCCGUAUUUUUGCCAAACCUAUCCCAGGAAAGACCUCCAUGAAUUUACAGUGUCAUGUGACAGCCUCUGACCUAUCAGGUGUCAGAAUCCAGUUAACCAAAGAUGGGGUUCCUCUGGACUAUGGGGUGGAGCGGAUUGGACCGCGUCCCAAUGGAGACGGAACCGUUCAGAUGAGAGUCGAGGUUCUAACCACAAUGGACAACAAUAAACACUAUCGAUGUGAGGCUCACAGUGAGAUUGUCAACAAGUCUGUCCUGUUCGUUGACCCAUCACUUCACAAAAAUGCCAUUGGGACUACCAUUGCCAUUACCAUUGUGGUUGCUUGUGUUGUUGUGGUCCUGGGUAUUGUGAACAUUUGUUAUUGGUGGUGGAGGAAAAGGUUACAAACCAGCUCCAACCAAUCGCAGCUCCAUGUCACCAGCUCCAACCAAUCGCAGCACCAUGUCACCAGUAUCAACCAAUUGUAUCUCCAUGGUGAAAGGGGGGAUUCGCCAAUGGCACUUCACAAGCUACUGCCUCCCACCAGGAAUCUGAAGGAAGAAAAUACUUCUGAUGGCAUUAGCAAAAUGCCCAUUUAAAAUGUCUACCUCAGUAUUUCCAGGUACUGGAGAUUCCAUCUUCUGACCAUCACCUGACUGUUAAGUUAACACCAGAGAGGGAAUGAAGGA